rnacentral:rRNA from 1 species
CCUACGGGAGGCAGCAGUGGGGAAUUUUGGACAAUGGGCGCAAGCCUGAUCCAGCCAUGCCGCGUGAGUGAAGAAGGCCUUCGGGUUGUAAAGCUCUUUCGGCAGGAACGAAAUGGUUUGUGCUAAUACCACGAACUGAUGACGGUACCUGAAGAAGAAGCACCGGCUAACUACGUGCCAGCAGCCGCGGUAAUACGUAGGGUGCAGGCGUUAAUCGGAAUUACUGGGCGUAAAGCGUGCGCAGGCGGUUUCUUAAGUCAGAUGUGAAAGCCCCGGGCUUAACCUGGGAACUGCGUUUGAAACUGGGAGACUUGAGUGUGGCAGAGGGGGGUGGAAUUCCACGUGUAGCAGUGAAAUGCGUAGAUAUGUGGAGGAACACCGAUGGCGAAGGCAGCCCCCUGGGGUCAACACUGACGCUCAUGCACGAAAGCGUGGGGAGCAAACAGGAUUAGAUACCCGUGGUAGUCCACGCCCUAAACUAUGUCAACUGGUUGUCGGGGGAUUGNUCCUUCGUACGAGANACGCGUGAGUGCGCCGUGGAGGACGGCGCGAAGGUAAACGUACGUUAAGUUAGUAGUUAGUUAGGCGNGNGACGNGCCGACGGACGACGACGAGGGAGGAGG